CCGCGCCGCCCGCCCUGCCAACUCAUCAAUUAAUUUUUAUUGACGUUUUCUUCCCCAAACAGGCACAAUACCAGGGUUUUCCAAUUAACACCUCCGCGAUCUCUAAUUAGUGCAAUUAACAGACUGAUGGAUGCCCGGAGUUUACCCGCGAGGGAGGGAGGGAGGGAAGGGGGCGGGGCAGACCCCAGCGCACACGUGCAUGCGCGAAGCUGGACAGCCCGAGGAGGCACUCCUAGCUUUAAUCCGAGCAAAACCGGUGGGGGCGUGACCACAGGUAACCUGUACCCAUAGCAAUGGUGGCGGUUUGAGAUGAAAUAAGUACACACGGUUUCCAGCGCUCCGCAAACCCAUAACCUAGGCGGAGAGACAGCUGAAAGCCUGAGACUGGAAGUUGGGAAACCCGGCAUCUUAGCCCCAGGUCUGUCUCCAGAAGACUCUCAGAUCCUGUAUAAAGUUCUCAAAACGCAACACUGUCAAGUCUGGAGUCCUUGGAAGCCCUUUCCCACACCCCUGUCAUCUCUCGUCUUCAUACAAUCUGGCAUGCAUUUGACAGACGAAGGAACCAUUCUUUGAAGAUGCCUAGUGACUUGACGAGGUCACCUGGCUGCUAGAAGUCUGAGCCAAACUGAAAUCCUACAGCUCUUCUGACUCCCAAACCAGUGCUCUUCUCCUGACUCCCACCUCAGAAGCCGCAAGCCUCGCUUGGGGCAGUCACUCUGCAAUCUCCCUGGGAUCUGAACCUUUCCUCACCAUUGCCACCCACCCACCCCUGCACAGUGGACUUUCUCCCCUGGCUCUGGCCCUAAAAUGCUUCCACCAGGCCCUAGCAAGGUGGCCUCCCUCAACACUCCUUUCUACAACCAGACCAAGAGGAAGAAUUAACAAUGGAAAAAAAAAAAAAAAAAAGGAAGAAAGAAAAA